rnacentral:rRNA from 1 species
AUCCUGCCAGUAGUCAUACGCUCGUCUCAAAGAUUAAGCCAUGCAUGUGUAAGUAUAAAUAAUUUUACUUUGAAACUGCGAAUGGCUCAUUAUAUCAGUUAUAGUUUAUUAGAAAUAUUUUACUACUUGGAUAACCGUAGUAAUUCUAGGGCUAAUACAUGAGUAAAACCUCAACUUCGGAAGAGGUGUGUUUAUUAGUAUGAAAACCAUAUAUCUUCGGAUAUAAUAGUGAGUAAUAAUAACCUUUCAUAUCGUAUGUCGUAAGAUAACGAUAGUUCUUUCAAGUUUCUGCCCUAUCAGCUUUCGAUGGUAGUAUAUGGGACUACCAUGGCAGUAACGGGUAACGAAGAAUUUGGGUUCGAUUUCGGAGAGGGAGCCUGAGAGAUGGCUACCACAUCCAAGGAAGGCAGCAGGCGCGUAAAUUACCCAAUCCUGACAUAGGGAGGUAGUGACAAUAAAUCACAAUGCGGAACUUUUA